rfam:Felis catus isolate Cinnamon breed Abyssinian chromosome A3, whole genome shotgun sequence.
GCCUGAGUGGCUCAGUUGGUUAAGCAUCUGACUUUAGCUCAGGUCAUGAUCCAACGGUUCGUGAGUUCGAGCCCCACAUCAGGCU